rnacentral:lncRNA from 1 species
GGUUUACUAUUUUUUUUUUAAUAUUGGAAAACUUACUAACUGUGAAUAUGAGAAAGACAAAAGAAAGUAAGUCCUCUCGCUAGACAUCCUAGCGCAAUUCAUUUUGAAACAAACAAGGAAACCUCAAACUACUGUAUUUAGGUGUCUGUACUGCAAACAUAUGCCUCAUGACAAUGUCAUACAUCAAUCGCUCUCUGUAAGCAGGCAUUGACUUAAAGGGAUUGUCUGUUGUCUUCUCACGGUUGUAUAUAUCAGGUAAAAUUGUUCCAAAGAGCCAUGUGUUGUGUAAUGGGGAACCACUUUGAUACUGAAAUACUAAUUUGUACUCUCGUUACUAUUAACUGGUAAUAGUGUAAUGCCACAGUAAUACUGUUCCGAUUGAAAAUUGUUGCGUCCCUUUUUGUAGAACAUUUAUAUUUCCAUAUAAGGAUGCGGUAUGUUCUUUCCCCGUGUACCCUAGGAUGAAGCUGUUUUUGUGCUUUUUCUUUAUCAUUGGCCCUCAUCCCAAGCACUUUAUGCUGUCUGUAAUGGAUCUAUUUUUGCACUGGAAUAUCUGAGAUUUGCAAAACUAGACAAAAGUUUCAGAGCAGAUUUCUAAGUUAAAUAAUUUUCAUUAAAAGAAAAAAACUGAAAAAAAUUGUAUUGUGAAUAACUUUAUACGAAGUGUUUUUAAAAGCCUGUUUCUAUGUUAUGAGUCACAAAAUAAAGCUGUGACAGUC